rnacentral:rRNA from 1 species
GAUGAACGCUGGCGGCGUGCCUAAUACAUGCAAGUCGAGCGAACAGACGAGGAGCUUGCUCCUCUAACGUUAGCGGCGGACGGGUGAGUAACACGUGGAUAACCUACCUAUAAGACUGGGAUAACUUCGGGAAACCGGAGCUAAUACCGGAUAAUAUAUUGAACCGCAUGGUUCAAUAGUGAAAGACGGUUUUGCUGUCACUUAUAGAUGGAUCCGCGCCGCAUUAGCUAGUUGGUAAGGUAACGGCUUACCAAGGCGACGAUGCGUAGCCGACCUGAGAGGGUGAUCGGCCACACUGGAGCUGAGACACGGUCCAGACUCCUACGGGAGGCAGCAGUAGGGAAUCUUCCGCAAUGGGCGAAAGCCUGACGGAGCAACGCCGCGUGAGUGAUGAAGGUCUUCGGAUCGUAAAACUCUGUUAUUAGGGAAGAACAAAUGUGUAAGUAACUAUGCACGUCUUGACGGUACCUAAUCAGAAAGCCACGGCUAACUACGUG